UGAGGUGUCAUUAGAUUUGAGGUGGAGUGGGGUAUCAUUAGAUUUGAGGUGUCAUUAGAUUUGAGGUGGAGUGGGGUAUCAUUAGAUUUGAGGUGGAGUGGGGUAUCAUUAGAUUUGGGGUGGAGUGGGGUAUCAUUAGAUUUGAGGUGUCAUUAGAUUUGGGGUGGGGUGAGGUAUCAU